AUCUAGCUGACGUGUCCCAAUUAGGAAGAAAUGUGUAUCCUAGAU
rnacentral:hammerhead_ribozyme from 1 species